AAAGCAGGGGAUCUUCGGACCUUGCGCUAAUAGAUGAGCCUAAGUCGGAUUAGCUAGUUGGUGGGGUAAAGGCCUACCAAGGCGACGAUCUGUAGCGGGUCUGAGAGGAUGAUCCGCCACACUGGGACUGAGACACGGCCCAGACUCCUACGGGAGGCAGCAGUGGGGAAUAUUGGACAAUGGGCGCAAGCCUGAUCCAGCCAUGCCGCGUGUGUGAAGAAGGCCUUUUGGUUGUAAAGCACUUUAAGCGAGGAGGAGGCUCCUUUAGUUAAUACCUAAAGUGAGUGGACGUUACUCGCAGAAUAAGCACCGGCUAACUCUGUGCCAGCAGCCGCGGUAAUACAGAGGGUGCGAGCGUUAAUCGGAUUUACUGGGCGUAAAGCGUGCGUAGGCGGCUUUUUAAGUCGGAUGUGAAAUCCCUGAGCUUAACUUAGGAAUUGCAUUCGAUACUGGAAAGCUAGAGUAUGGGAGAGGAUGGUAGAAUUCCAGGUGUAGCGGUGAAAUGCGUAGAGAUCUGGAGNGAAUACCGAUGGCGAAGGCAGCCAUCUGGCCUAAUACUGACGCUGAGGUACGAAAGCAUGGGGAGCAAACAGGAUUAGAUACCCUGGUAGUCCAUGCCGUAAACGAUGUCUACUAGCCGUUGGGGCCUUUGAGGCUUUAGUGGCGCAGCUAACGCGAUAAGUAGACCGCCUGGGGAGUACGGUNCNGNCAAGACUAAAACUCAAAUGAAUUGACGGGGGCCCGCACAAGCGGUGGAGCAUGUGGUUUAAUUCGAUGCAACGCGAAGAACCUUACCUGGCCUUGACAUACUAAGAACUUUCCAGAGAUGGAUUGGUGCCUUCGGGAACUUAGAUACAGGUGCUGCAUGGCUGUCGUCAGCUCGUGUCGUGAGAUGUUGGGUUAAGUCCCGCAACGAGCGCAACCCUUUUUCUUAUUUGCCAGCGGGUCAUGCCGGGAACUUUAAGGAUACUGCCAGUGACAAACUGGAGGAAGGCGGGGACGACGUCAAGUCAUCAUGGCCCUUACGGCCAGGGCUACACACGUGCUACAAUGGUCGGUACAAAGGGUUGCUACCUCGCGAGAGGAUGCUAAUCUCAAAAAGCCGAUCGUAGUCCGGAUCGCAGUCUGCAACUCGACUGCGUGAAGUCGGAAUCGCUAGUAAUCGCGGAUCAGAAUGCCGCGGUG
rnacentral:rRNA from 1 species